CCGAGUUUACAACUCCCAAACCCCUGUGAACAUACCUACUAUGUUGCCUCGGCGGAUCAGCCCGCUCCCGGUAAAACGGGACGGCCCGCCAGAGGACCCCUAAACUCUGUUUCUAUAUGUAACUUCUGAGUAAAACCAUAAAUAAAUCA
rnacentral:misc_RNA from 1 species